rnacentral:sRNA from 1 species
UAUUCUGCCCCAUGGGGAAGGAUGAGAAGCUUCGACUAAGGUUCGACUCGAGCGAAGCGAGAGAACGUUGCCGCAGGCAACGGCCCGAAGGGCGAGGAGCGAUAGCGACGAGUUAUCCUUCCCCCACCACUG